rnacentral:rRNA from 1 species
UCAUAAGUUUGACGACAAGAGGCGCCGCAGGCCAAACCUUUAUCGUUUUGAUCCAGACCUAUAAUAAUAAUAUAGGGCUGAUGCUUACCACCUUCCAACAACAACCUACCAACAUCGAAAGUAACAUCGAAAGAUGUAAGUAGGUAGGUAGUAAGUAAAGUUGGUUGGUAGGUUAGUUAGCCGAGGUUAAAAUAGUAUUGGUCCAGCUGGGUGGUGGCACAGAAUAGGAGGCCCCGACUGUUUACUAAAAACAUAAGAGAAAGCAAUCACUAAGGUGAUAGUAUUUUUUCUGAAAUUUGCCCGAUGUCAUUAAUAUAAAGUCGAACAUGGAACACUGUGAUCAACUGAAAAUCUGAUUAAUAGCGGUCUUAACUAUGAGGAUCCAAAGGUAGCAAAAUCAUUUGGCCAUUAAAUGUGGUCCGGUAUCAAUAAUGUAACGAUGGUCUCACUGUCUCUACAACUUGCUCAGUGAAAUUGAAUUACGCGUGCAGAUGCGCGUUGCCUUCAGGGGGACGGGAAGACC